UCCGCCUGUUCCCCGGCAUUGAGAAAUCGCCCCCAAGUUAGAUUAUUUGGGGGAAAACCUAUGGCAGCAACAGGAAAGUUCUAGUGUUAAUAACAGAGAGAUUGUGUAAUAGAAAGCUUCACCGUAAAGAGAUGGAGCCGCCCCCAAGGAGAAAGGAUUGCAGAAUUCUUCCAGUCCUCCCUUCUGGAUGUCACCUCCUGAUAAGAGAAGUGUGGAAUCGGAAGGACUGAUUCUGCUCUGUCGGGAGUUGAGGCUUUCUUUGUAAAUGUGGGAAGUAAGAAGGGUUGAUGCUGCUUAAACAGCAGAACAGUGGGACAACAGACAACAGUCUCCCUUCAAGCCCUCUCCCACACAGUGCCAGCCCAAACCUGCGUGCUGAGAUACAGGCUAAACAGUUACUUUUAUUCCAAUUUAACAAAUAUUUUGCAGGUU